rnacentral:rRNA from 1 species
UGCUUAACACAUGCAAGUCGAACGGUAAGGCCCUUUCGGGGUACACGAGUGGCGAACGGGUGAGUAACACGUGGGUGAUCCUGCCCUGCACUUCGGGAUAAGCCUGGGAAACUGGGUCUAAUACCGGAUAUGACCUCUGCCUGCAUGGGUGGGGGGUUGGAAAGCGUUUUUGCGGGUGUGGGGAUGGGCCCCGCGGCCUAUCAGCUUGUUGGUGGGGUUAAGGCCUACCAAGGCGACGACGGGUAGCCCGGCCUGAGAGGGUGUCCGGCCACACUGGGACUGAGAUACGGCCCAGACUCC